rnacentral:rRNA from 1 species
GAUGAACGCUGGCGGCGUGCCUAAUACAUGCAAGUCGAGCGAACAGACGAGGAGCUUGCUCCUCUGACGUUAGCGGCGGACGGGUGAGUAACACGUGGAUAACCUACCUAUAAGACUGGGAUAACUUCGGGAAACCGGAGCUAAUACCGGAUAAUAUAUUGAACCGCAUGGUUCAAUAGUGAAAGACGGUUUUGCCGUCACUUAUAGAUGGAUCCGCGUCGCAUUAGCUAGUUGGUAAGGUAACGGCUUACCAAGGCAACGAUGCGUAGCCGACCUGAGAGGGUGAUCAGCCACACUGGAACUGAGACACGGUCCAGACUCCUACGGGAGGCAGCAGUAGGGAAUCUUCCGCAAUGGGCGAAAGCCUGACGGAGCAACGCCGCGUGAGUGAUGAAGGUCUUCGGAUCGUAAAACUCUGUUAUUAGGAAAGAACAAAUGUGUAAGAAACUAUGCACGUCUUGACGGUACCUAAUCAGAAAGCCACGGCUAACUACGUG